rnacentral:lncRNA from 1 species
GGGGGAGAAUGGGCAUCCCACCCCAGCACUUUCUAGGAAGAAGGGCAGCAUUUUGAAGGGCUGGAAGUAGAGGAAGGAGGUUGCGGGUAGAAGACUCCAUACUUUCUGUGACGCCUAUUCCUUAGCUUGUGAUGAAUGUUUUCUCAGUAUCCUAUGCUGAAAACAGGUAGAUACUAAUAUCGAUCUUCAAGGGAGGGCUGUUGAGUAUUGAAUAAGACAAAAACAUGGAAGCAAUCAGCACCAUGCUGGAAUCAAGGCUAUCUGUAAUCACAGGGCUAUUUGAAAAAGAGAAGAAAAGGUGUCUUGAAAUUCAACCAACAUGUUUCAAUUAUUUGCUCCUAAGAACAACAGAAGUUUCAACAUUCUGCCAACAGAGUAACUCCUGGAAGAUUGGCACAGAAGAAGGCACAAGGAAGUCAGUGAUAAAAAUAUUUAAGCAGCUUUGUCUGCCUUAGACCUUCCAACUAAAAGUACAGCAAGUGGAAUGGAAUGCUAAUAUGAGGAUCCAAAUUUUCAGGGAAGGAGGAGAGCCUUUAUAUAACCAAAGAUAUUUUUGGACCAUGAAUUCAGAAAUUCUCGGAGCCACCCAUCAGUGCCUGAGCUUCAGUGAGUCCAUAUCCCAUGUCACCCACGGCAAAGGAGACUCUAAGACUUCUGAAGAGUUUCUUGCUUCUUUCCUGUGGGGCAGUGACUCCACUUCCCAGCAGUAAUGGAAUAUCCUGAAUUAGCUACA